rnacentral:rRNA from 1 species
GUGCCAGCCGCCGCGGUAAUACAGAGGUCUCAAGCGUUGUUCGGAUUCAUUGGGCGUAAAGGGUGCGUAGGUGGCGUGGUAAGUCGGGUGUGAAAUUUCGGAGCUUAACUCCGAAACUGCAUUCGAUACUGCCGUGCUUGAGGACUGGAGAGGAGACUGGAAUUUACGGUGUAGCAGUGAAAUGCGUAGAGAUCGUAAGGAAGACCAGUGGCGAAGGCGGGUCUCUGGACAGUUCCUGACACUGAGGCACGAAGGCCAGGGGAGCAAACGGGAUUAGAUACCCCCGUAGUCC